UGUAGAGGUUAGGAGGCACAGUAUUAGGAAAUAUUAGUCAUAUACAUAAUAUAGGGAGCUUUUACUUUUUAAUUUCUGCAGUGGUUUUACUAACAAGGAGUUAUAUGACUAGAUGUUUCAAUUGAGAAGUCAUCUAUAUAAUCUCUUAAAAUCCUAAUACAUGGGGAAGAAUUUGUGACUUCUCCAGGAGAAUGAGGAGGAGGAAUAAGGCCUUUUAAUCUUCUAGAUUAUCAGACCUGUUGGGAAUUCUGAAUGAUUGUUUACUUUCAACUUAUUAUUUAUUGGAGCAAUUGCCCUUGAAAUGAGCUUGGUAAAAGCAAGUGGACCAAGAGGAUGUGGCUUUAGACAUCAUUGCUGGAGAGAAAGUUGAGAGCUAUUUUGGG
rnacentral:lncRNA from 1 species